CAGGGGUAAGACACCGUGCCUGGCCACUAAUAAUAAUAAUUUAAAAAUUUCUGAAAAUGAUUCUGCAUCUGCCAAAUGUGCUGCAUGAAUUCUCAGCAUAACUCAGUGACACAGUUUAAUCCCCAUUUUCCAGAUGCGAAAAUUGAGAUUCAGAGCAGUGUAAUGAACCGAGCUCACACCGCUGGUAGGUGGAGCAGGUGUGCGUGUUUUGUGCUCAUGUAGGGGGUUGGGGAGUGUUCCAGCCAGCCUCUGUGCACCUGGGGUGGGGGUGGAAUGAGGAGGGGGUUGUUGUGAGCCUGAGGGUCGCACUGUCUGUGGUUCUCUCCUUCCUGUCAGCUGAGCCCAGCUCCAGACUCAAGAGGAACGGCUGGGGUGAUACCAUCUCCUGGUUUCUGCGGGGGUGUAUGUGAGUUCCCUCCCCCUGCCCCCAGCUGUGGGACUGUCCCUUCUCACAGCCACCACCAACUGACUUCCCCACAGCCUCCAGAUGAGCAAAAAGGUAAAACUCCGGCAUUUUCCACAUCCUCAGCAUCCUCCACCUCCUCAGCUGUUCGCACCCGUGCUGGGAUGCAGGUAGGAUGCCCCCAGUUGACAAGGGAGGAAACUGAGGCCCAGCAAUGGGGAGGGACUCCCCCAGGGUCACACAGCAAGGCCAUGGCUGAGCCUGGACACAGGCCCAGGGCUCAGCACAGCUGGGUCAGUGCUCAGGGGUUUGCUUCCCAGCCCUGCCGGCCCUAUUUGGUUAUUGCCUUGGUCUCCUGAGAAACGUGUCGGCAAAUGUGGCCGCUCUGCUGCAUGCGGUGGGGGUGGAAAUUGAAUCAGUGGCCAGAGGGAGGACCCCCAACUGCCUUCUUUCUCAGCACCACUGGUUUUGCCUCCUGGGCACCAGACGUUUGGAGGAGAUAGUGGGGGCUGGGAGGGAAACUGAGGCCCAGAGUCCAGGGUCUGGGAUUGGGCCCUGCUCAAUAGCCCGUGUGACCUCAAGCAAGUCUCUGGGCCUCAGCGUUGCCAUCUGGGAAAUGCAGUCAUAAUCGCCUCAGCAUUGCCAUCUGGGAAAUGCAGUCACAAUCACUGCCCUUUACGCCACAUGUCCCCCACCCUGGUGGGGUCAGAUCAAAGGAAUCAGGAGACAGAAAAAGUUUGCUGGGACUGGGAAGGACAGACACAGGAAAACAGAGCAGUGGGCAAGUGUGGCCCCUCACCGUGGAGCCUGAUUCUAGUACCUCUGUGCUCUUUCCCCACCCAAGUAUUGGGUCCCAGCCUCACUGCUGUUGGGAAUGUGAGACAGCAUCCCAUGACACCCCCAUCCCCCUGCCGCCCCAGUAACUCCCCACCUGGGAUCCCAUGAUGCCCCCAUCCCCCUGCCGCCCCAGUAACUCCCCACCUGGGAUCCCAUGAUGCCCCCAUCCCCCUGCUGCCCCAGUAACUCCCCACCUGGGAUCCCAUGACGCCCCCAUCCCUCUGCUGCCCCAGUAACUCCCCACCUGAGAUCCCAUGUGAGCCCAGGCCUGCGGGCAGGGGAUGGAGUGUGCGAAUGCCUCCCCUGCCCGGCCGCAAGGUCAGAGACAGCCAGAGACACAGUGGACUGCAGAGAUCGAGAGACGCGGUGGGGAGACAAAGAGACGGAUAAAGAGAAGCACAGAGAUGGAGAACGAAGUCAGUCAGAGAGACAGAGAUGCUGGGCCAGAGUGACAGCCAGAAAGCCACGGGAUGCCCAGAAGCAGAGACGUCUGCAGAGAGACAGUGAUGGACAAAGAGAAACAGAAACAAGGCGGGAAACAGGAGGAUCGCUUGAGCCCAGGAGAUCGAGACCAGCCUGGGCAACAAACGAAUAGCGUGAGUCAAGAGAAUCCCCUCACUCAGACACCCAGGUUCGGGUCCCAACUUUGUCGCCGUGUGACCUUGGGCAAAUGACCUCACCUCUGAGCCUCAACGUCUUCUUCUGCAAAAUGGGUUAGUGAUCCUGACUAUGGGGCUGUUGAUUCAGGAUUCGGCGGGAACGCCCAGCACUUCCUGAGUACACAAGAGUGCUGAGAAAAUGG
rnacentral:lncRNA from 1 species